UACAUUUGUGUUGGGUUGGGGCUUUGGGGGCUGGACCUUAUGGCUAUUGUUGGUUGAUAACCACCAACUAUGCACCACUCUCAUUAAAUACGGUCAUACAAGGCAUACCCUUCUUUAUACCAUAUAUCCUCAUUGGCUUUGUUUCUUUUCUGUUACUUUUAGUUUUAGAAAAAACCACCUCCACACAUAGAAGAGAUGUCAGAAGCACCAAAGAUACAAGUGAUGUCAUCCCAUCAUCAAAUCCAACAACGGAAGGAUGAAAGGGGCUACAUAUAUGCCUGUUUCUUCACAAUGUUUUGCUGUUGUUGCUGCCCGGAAAUGUGUCAUGGGUGUCUGGAUGGUGAUUGUUGCUGCUGCAAGUAGCCCAUAUAACUAUGUCUAAACCCGUGUUUCCUAUUCAUUUUCCACAUGUAUCUAUUUUUAAACACCAAUCUUUUCUACCUAUAUAUAUGUAUCUUAACACAUUCUAUUUGCUGUGUAUCAACGAUAUCGAAAUGUUAAAAGUUGUAAUAUAUAUUAAUUGUUAA